CAGCCGCCGCGGGAAUACGUAGGUGGCAAGCGUUGUCCGGAAUUAUUGGGCGUAAAGGGCUCGCAGGCGGUUUCUUAAGUCUGAUGUGAAAGCCCCCGGCUCAACCGGGGAGGGUCAUUGAAAACUGGGAAACUUGAGUGCAGAAGAGGAGAGUGGAAUUCCACGUGUAGCGGUGAAAUGCGUAGAGAUGUGGAGGAACACCAGUGGCGAAGGCGACUCUCUGGUCUGUAACUGACGCUGAGGAGCGAAAGCGUGGGGAGCGAACAGGAUUAGAUACCCCGGUAGUCCCUGUCUCUUAUAC
rnacentral:rRNA from 1 species